GAUGGGGGCUGCACCUGCUUCUGGACCUUCUACUUCAUCAAGUGCUAAGAGUUCAAAGAAUAAGAAAAGCAGUGACCUCAAGUAUGACAUAUUUGGAUGGAUAAUUCUAGCUGUUGGCAUUGUUGCGUGGGUUGGAUUUGCGAAAUCUCAAAUGCCUGCUUCUCCUCCGCCACCUCCAAGAUAAGCAAACAAACUUCUUUUUUAGGAAGUGUCCCAUGGGAAUUUUGAGAUGGUCAAUGAACAUUUGAGAAACACAUGGCCUUUCAUCAUUAGUUGAGAUUUUUUUUUUUUUUUUUUUUUAUCUUUAG
rnacentral:misc_RNA from 1 species